rnacentral:rRNA from 1 species
GCCAGCCCGCUCAGAAACUUAAAGGAAGUUGACGGGGGCCCGCACAAGCGGUGGAGCACGUGGUUUAAUUCGAAGCAACGCGAAGAACCUUACCAGGCCUUGACAUGCAGAGAACUUUCCAGAGAUGGAUUGGUGCCUUCGGGAACUCUGACACAGGUGCUGCAUGGCUGUCGUCAGCUCGUGUCGUGAGAUGUUGGGUUAAGUCCCGCAACGAGCGCAACCCUUGCCUUUAGUUGCCAGCAGUUCGGCUGGGCACUCUAAAGGGACUGCCGGUGUUAAACCGGAGGAAGGUGGGGAUGACGUCAAGUCCUCAUGGCCUUUAUGACCAGGGCUACACACGUACUACAAUGGCCGAUACAAAGGGCAGCGACACUGCGAGGUGAAGCCAAUCCCGUAAAAUCGGUCUCAGUCCGGAUUGGAGUCUGCAACUCGACUCCAUGAAGUUGGAAUCGCUAGUAAUCGUGGAUCAGCAUGCCACGGUGAAUACGUUCCCGGGCCUU